GAUCUCAGCUUCUUCAUCAGCUCCCACACGAAUUGCUUGAUUCACUGGUUAGACGAUUGGGUCUGUAGCUCAGUUGGUUAGAGCGCACCCCUGAUACGGGUGAGGUCGGCAGUUCGAAUCUGCCCAGACCCACCAAUUGUUGGUGUGCUGCGUGAUCCGAUACGGGGCCAUAGCUCAGCUGGGAGAGCGCCUGCUUUGCACGCAGGAGGUCAGGAGUUCGAUCCUCCUUGGCUCCACCAUCCAAAACAAUCGUCGAAAGCUCAGAAAUGAAUGUUCGUAGAUGAACAUUGAUUUCUGGUCUUUGCACCAGAACUGUUCUUCAAAAAUUCGGGUAUGUGAUAGAAGUCAGACUGAAUGAUCUCUUUCACUGGUGAUCAUUCAAGUCAAGGGAAAAUUUGCGAGUUCAAGCGCGAAUUUUCGGCGAAUGUCGUCUUCACAGUACAACCAGAUUGCUUGGGGUUAUAUAUGGUC
rnacentral:tRNA from 1 species